rnacentral:rRNA from 1 species
AACUAACGCUGGCGGCGUGCCUAACACAUGCAAGUCGUACGAGAAAGUUGGCUUCGGCCGAUGAGUACAGUGGCGCACGGGUGAGUAACGCGUGGAUAAUCUGCCCUUAAGUGUGGAAUAACGUACCGAAAGGUGCGCUAAUACCGCAUAAUGCCUGGCAACAUAAGUUGUCCGGCCAAAGAAGGCCUCUGCUUGCAAGCUUUCGCUAAAGGAUGAGUCCGCGUACCAUUAGCUAGUUGGUGGGGUAACGGCCUACCAAGGCGACGAUGGUUAGCUGGUCUGAGAGGAUGAUCAGCCACACUGGAACUGGAGACACGGUCCAGACUCCUACGGGAGGCAGCAGUGAGGAAUAUUGCGCAAUGGGGCAACCCUGACGCAGCAACGCCGCGUGAGUGAGGAAGGUUUCGGACUGUAAAGCUCUGUCGAGCGGGAAGAAAUGUACCAUGGCUAAUAUCCAUGAUAUUUGACGGUACCGCUAGAGGUAACGG